UACGAAGGGUGCAAGCGUUAUUCGGAAUCACUGGGCGUAUAGAGCGCGUAGGCGGCUUAUUAAGUUGGUUGUUAAAUACCUUGGCUCAACCAAGGAACUGCAGUCAAAACUGAUUUGCUAGAGGAUAAGAGAGAGAAGUGGAAUUCUCGGAGUAGCGGUAAAAUGCGUAGAUCUCGAGAGGAACACCGGUUGCGAAGGCGGCUUCUUGGCUUAUUCCUGACGCUGAGGUGCGAAAGCGUGGGGAGCAAACAGGAUUAGAAACCCUAGUAGU
rnacentral:rRNA from 1 species